UAACUUUCUCCGGCUUUCUAGGACGUGUUUUAUGCCACUUCUUUUUCUCUCUCAUUUUGUCCACCCAACUGUUAACGUGGUGCGUGAAGGCACAAAGGUUGCGGUGUUACGGCUCAGACCCCUGCCAUCUGCGCGCACCUUGGGACACGCCCACGGCUGCGCAAAUCCAGGGACGCGCCGUGCGCGUCUCCGCCCUGCAGCAGCCACCAGCUGCAAACACUCACCGGCUAUCGGCACACCUGAGACUGAUGAGGGCGUGCCGGAUAAAGGCAGGGUGGGCCCAAGGAUCGGCGCGGGAACUUAGUUUUCUCAUGGUGUUCAUACCCUCCGUCGCCUGGACUGUAAGCUGUGCGUCUCACUAUUCCCUGGUUCUUCCCCUGUGUUUUGGACUGGCUUCCUCCUUUCCCGACUCCUCGCUCGCCCCCCGGACUCUGACGUCUCUCUCUGCCCCACGGACCCCUCGCGCAUCUUGGACCCCUUUUGCCUUGCCCAAUUUGGACUUGUCUACUUCCUCAUCCAACAUCACGGUAAUACACAACAGCUAACUACACACAUAGUCUUACAUCACACACUCUGGUAUUUU